AUACAAACCUUUGUUUGAAAAUCUAUUCACAAAUAUGACUAUACAUAGAACACAAGGUCAUGCGUUUAGACUGGAAGAAAGAAGGUUUAGUCCAAGGCAAAGGAAAGCUUUUUAUUUACUGUAAUAAUAAAGAUGUGAAAUUCUCUGCCUGAAGAAGUGUUUUUAUAAGUGGGAGAAGCAAAUUUAAAGGGACACUAUGCACCCAGACCACUCUCCUCAUUGAAGUGGUCUGGGUGCAGUGUUCUCUUAACCCUGCAAUGUAAAACAAUUACGUUUUAGAGAGUCAGUCACUAGAGUCGCUUCCUCCAGUUUCCGCAAAGUUUGACUUCAUGAAGCGUCCAGUGUCUCGAAAAAAAAAACCCAUAGGUAAGCAUAUUCAGCUGUCAGUGGAGGAAUGAAACUAAGCACCGAGGGGCAUUGGUUAGGGAUCGACCGAUAUUGAUUUUUUACAGCCGAUACCGAUACCGAUAACCUGCGAACUUUCAGGCCGAUAGCCGAUAUCUUGCCGAUAUUCUGUACAUUUACUAUUUUGAAUAAAUAAACUAAUUCGAAAGGUAAAUGCACAAAAUAUACAUGCCACAUGUAGUGGAUGAAGUGUGUUUAGACAGGGGAACUGUGUGUUUGUGUAGUGUGUGCAGGGUGUGUGUUUGUGUAGUGUGUGUAUAAUGAAUGUAGUGUGUAUAUAAUGCAGUGUGUGCAGUGUGUUUUUGUGUGUAUGUAAUGCAGUGUGUGUGUUUGUGUAGUGUGUGUUUGUGUAGUGUGUAUGUAAUGCAGUGUGUGUGUAUGUGUAGUGUGUAUGUAAUGCAGUGUGUGUAUGUAAUGCAGUAUGUGUACUGUGUGUAUGUAAUGCAGUGUGUGUGUAUGUAAUGCAGUGUGUGUACUGUGUUUGUGUAGUGUGUAUGUAAUGCAGUAUGUGUACUGUGUUUGUGUAGUGUGUAUGUAAUGCAGUGUGUGUAUGUAAUGCAGUAUGUGUACUGUGUUUGUGUAGUGUGUAUGUAAUGCAGUGUGUGUCUGUAAUGCAGUAUGUGUUUGUGGUGUGUGUGUGUAGUGUGUCUGUCUGUGUAGUGUGUAUGUAAUGCAGUGUGUGUGUAUGUAAUGCAGUAUGUGUGCAGUGUGUGUUUGUGUAGUGAUGUAAU